AACGUAGGAGACAAACGUUAUCCGGAGUUACGUGGCGUAAAGGGCGUGUAGGUGGUUUUGUAAGUCUGGCGUGAAAUUUUUCGGCUUAACCGGGAAAGGUCGUCGGAUACUGCAAGGCUAGAGGACGGUAGAGGCGUGUGGAAUUCCGGGUGGUAGUGGUGAAAUGCGUAGAGAUCCGGAGGAACACCAGUGGCGAAGGCGACACGCUGGGCCGUACCUGACACUGAGGCUCGAAAGCGUGGGGAGCAAACAGGG
rnacentral:rRNA from 1 species